UCUCCCAGCUGCGCCAGAGAGGGCGCGGUCUGGAGCGCCUCGCCAACAUCCCGCAGCCGCCGCCCGCAGCCUGGCCUCGCUCGGGCUCUCGCGAGAGGAAGUAUAAUCUCGGCGUGGUUGGAGAGAGCGGCCUGGCUGGAGCCUGGGGAAACGUCGCGGAACCUCAAAGGUCUACCCGGCGAGCGCAGCGUGGAGUCUCCUGCCUCAGCUCCCGGCGUCAGUUAGACCAUCUGCCUGCCGCGUCGCGGACAGCCUCCUGGAAAAGGCGGAGUGGCCUGGCCGGGGAGGGGCAGGGCUCCCCUUUGCUUCCCCGGAACUGUCAGUACUUCGUAACGCAUAAUCAGGAAGCUGAAGCUGCUAUGGAAAGAAUGGAUUAGAAGACCAGUACAGAAGCAGGGAGACCAGAAGAGAGACUGCUACAAUGAGCCAGAUGAGAAAUUGUGCUGGCCUGAGCUAAGAGUCAUGGCAGUGGGUAUGCAGAAAUGGCUUUGAACACAAGGUAUAUUUUGGAAGAAGUACCAACAAGACUACUUCACUCAUGUUGAAGUCUUGUGUAAGGUGUUGUGGUUACCAAGGUGGAGGCCCCUCAUCUGGUAGAGAAGGCAGACAUGAACAUGUGUGAAGGCCAUGUGCAGUGGGGUCAGUGCUGUGACAGAGCUGAGCCUUUGGAUGAGACCGUGACCCCAGCUACAAGUUGACCACAACCUUACAGAAGACCUUCAGUCAGAAGCUCCCAGCUAAGCCAUGCCUGGAUUCCUGACCCACAG